rnacentral:misc_RNA from 1 species
UUUUUUUCGUUUCCUCGCUCGUUCCUUCUUCCUUGGCUCGCUGGCCUUCAGACGGCGGAGGCGAUGGUGGGUUGGGCCGCAUCGUGUGCUCCUGGACCUUCCCCGGGGGGUAUCCCGGGGAAGCAACAGUGGUAUGUACGCAGAGGGUGUGGGGUCUUGGGAACGCCGCCUGGCGGGAAGGGGGAGGUGGGGGUUCGCGUAGCCAAGCCGCGGGCCUGCGCCUAACGGUCGGACGACAGGGCCGGCCCACCGCACCCCAACCCGGUCCCAGAAGCUGGUCCGGUAGUCCGGGCCUUGGUUUGGCGACCCGCUACCCCGCGGCGUUCCUUCAAGUUUCUUCUUCAACCGAAUCUGAUUUUAAUGAUCCUUCCGCAGGUUCACCUACGGAAA